AUGCACGUGGCCGGCCACGGCAUCCCGGAGGACCUCAUCGACGCGCUGCGCUCCGCCGGGACCCGGUUCUUCCGCAUGCCUAUCGAGGACAAGGAGGCCUACGCCAACGACCCCGCGGCGGGGCGGCUGGAAGGGUACGGCAGCCGGCUCGCCGGAUCCGCCGGCGAGGACGGCAAGAGGGAGUGGGAGGACUACCUGUUCCACAUGCUCCACCCCGACGCCCGCGCCGACCACGCGCGCUGGCCGGCGCACCCGCCAGAGUACGUGCCCGUCACCAAGGCCUUCGGG
rnacentral:rRNA from 1 species